UACCCGCAGCACAAGUGGUGGUCAUUAUUAUUGGGCCUAAAGCGUCCGUAGCUGGCCUGUUAGAUGCCUGGGUAAAUCGGUGCGCUCAACGCACCGAAUUCCGGGUAGACCGGCAGGCUCGAGACCGGGAGAGGCAUGGGCUACUCGCGGGGUAGGGGUAAAAUCCUGUAAUCCUGCGGGGAGGACCAGUGGCGAAGGCGCCAUGCUAGAACGGCUCUGACAGUGAGGGACGAAGCCCUGGGGCGCAAACCGG
rnacentral:rRNA from 1 species